UGAGUAACACGUAUCCAACCUACCGUUUACUACGGGAUAGCCUUCUGAAAAGGAGAUUAAUACCGUAUGGUAUUCUAAAGUUUCAUGACAUUAGAAUUAAAGGUUUACCGGUAAUCGAUGGGGAUGCGUUCCAUUAGAUAGUAGGCGGGGUAACGGCCCACCUAGUCAGCGAUGGAUAGGGGUUCUGAGAGGAAGGUCCCCCACAUUGGAACUGAGACACGGUCCAAACUCCUACGGGAGGCAGCAGUGAGGAAUAUUGGUCAAUGGACGAGAGUCUGAACCAGCCAAGUAGCGUGAAGGAUGACUGCCCUAUGGGUUGUAAACUUCUUUUAUAAAGGAAUAAAGUGGUCCACGUGUGGAUUUUUGUAUGUACUUUAUGAAUAAGGAUCGGCUAACUCCGUGCCAGCAGCCGCGGUAAUACGGAGGAUCCAAGCGUUAUCCGGAUUUAUUGGGUUUAAAGGGAGCGUAGAUGGAUUUUUAAGUCAGUUGUGAA
rnacentral:rRNA from 1 species